rnacentral:rRNA from 1 species
GAUGAACGCUGGCGGCGUGCCUAAUACAUGCAAGUCGAGCGAACAGAUGAGGAGCUUGCUCCUCUGACGUUAGCGGCGGACGGGUGAGUAACACGUGGAUAACCUACCUAUAAGACUGGGAUAACUUCGGGAAACCGGCGCUAAUACCGGAUAAUAUAUUGAACCGCAUGGUUCAAUAGUGAAAGACGGUUUUGCUGUCACUAAUAGAUGGAUCCGCGCCGCAUUGGCUAGUUGGGAAGGUAACGGCUUACCAAGGCAACGAUGCGUAGCCGAACUGAGAGGGUGAUCGGCCACAUGGGAACUGGAACACCGUCCAGACUCCUGCGGGACGCAGCAGAAGGGAAUCUUCCGCAGUAGGCGAAAGCAUGACGGAGCAACGCCACGUGUGUGAUGAAAGUCUUCGGAUCGUAAAGCUCUGUUAUUAGGUAAAAACAAAUGUGUAAUUAACUAUGCACGUCGUGACGGUACCGAAUCAGAAAGCCCCGGCUAACUACGUG